AAGAAUUAACCCUAAAAAAAGGGCUAGGGUUCGCUCUAUAUUUCUAUUGAUCUACUCCAGCUCCAGCCGACAAGACACUCCCAAAGCCAAUGACCCAAAUCGAAAUUACAUUCUCAGUUCUUCAGACUUCAAUAUUCAUACGUUCAAGUCGCAUAGAGAUUAGAGAGAUGAGAAUUAGAGACGACACUCCAUCGGCGAUCUCGUGAACAACUGAACACCGACUUCAACUCCGGCGUACCAAUCUUCUGGUCAACGACAACUGGUAACCCCUUAUGCUCUUUGUGCUUGUGGUUUAGCCUUGGUUCCUCGUUCAACAACUGAACACAUAAUUUAACCUUUCGCUCGGUUCCUCAUUCCUUUUCCUUUGUGGCAGGCUCGCACCAGCAAUUGCAAGCAGGUAAGAUUAAGUAUUUUUUGUUUAUUCCAUUGGAAGUACAUUUAUUGAACAUAUAGGUUUACCUAUUAAAAUACACAUAAAUCUGAUUUCGAAGCACAUCUGACCUUGUGAGGUGUGAGUUGGGACAUGUUCAGACCUUGUGAGUUAUGACCUAUUAAGUAUUAUUUUUUUUACUGUUGAAUCUAAUUUCGAAUUUGUUGAAUUGAUUUUUUAAUCUGAUUAAUGUUAGUAGAGAUAGGGAAAAAAAAGGAAAAGAAUGUUCUGCAUACUGAACCACAAACUAUUAUGACAAUUUGAUUUAUUGACAAUAAUUCUAGAAGUAUGUUAGAUGAAUAUUGAUAAGAAAUUCAAUCAUCUAGAUUGAUAAUAAGUGUGGAUAACUGCUCGAUCAAAUCAAGUUAAGUUACAAUGAAUAGCACACUAAAAAUCAGAACUCAGAAGCUUGGUUUAAAAAAGCGCCUUAAUGCGCUAGGCGCCCAAGCGAUGACCAAAAGCACAUCAAGUAAUGAGAUGCGAUGCGAUUCCCUUAGUCGGUCGCAUUUUCCCGCUUUUUACCGCAUUGCGCUUCGGCACUUAAUACCGCUUAGGGUAAUUAAUAGAAAAUGGGCUUUUAAUUAAGUUAGACGGGCCAAUAGGUUUAAUUAAGUUAGACGGGCCAAUAGGUUUAAUUAAGUUAGAAUAGGUUUAUAUAAAUAAAGGAAAGAGAUGUAGAAUCAAUAUUGUUAGAGGUGGUAAAAACAAUUACACAAACAAAGCAAAUCGUAUCAUCGCUCCAACUCAUCUUCUCCAAGUAAUCAGAAAUCAACUCUGCUAAUGUUUUCUACUUCCAUUCCAUUAUACUAAUCUACAUAUUCUAUUCUCUUCUCAAGUCUAAAACUCUAAAGUCUGACAGUCUGAAGUAUGAAAUUUGGUCAUUAUAUUUAUACGUUUUCUGUUAAGUUGUUUGCUAUUAACGUGUGUUACCUAACUGUUAAGUCAUACACAUAAUUCAUAAGUUAUUUGUUAUCAUGCAUGAUAGUUUAGACGAUUUCUAGUAUCAGUACUUAGGAUUUAAUAUGAUACUACUAUGAUUUUACGAGAUUUUUAAGUAUUUAUAAGUAUUUUCAUAUCUUUUAUAUUUUUUUCAAUUUGGGGCGCAUCGUGUGCUCUAGGCGAGCGCUUUCGCUUAGCGCUUAGCGCAUCGGUCCCCAAAGGCUUUAGCGCUUUAGGGCGCUUUACGCUUUUUAAAACCAAGCUCAGAAGGUAGGAUUCGGAAGUAACUAGUAUAUAAAGAAUCAAACGAAUGGAUCCAAAGAUUUGAAUGAAAUUUACAACAUACUAUAUGAUGAUAAUGUGAUAAUGAGAUAAUGUCCACCUUUGAAUUGAUUUCUCAUUAUGAUUUUUGAUUUUUGAUUAAAUCAAGUGUUAACUAUUAAAUCUAGACUAAAGCUCUCUUUUCUCUGUAUAGUAUUAUCGUGGUUUAGUUUUUUUAAUGUGUAGGGAAUGGGUAUGCUCCUAAUUCAGGAAGAACAUCAUAAAUGUGAAGAAAGAGUAAGAAUUUACAUCUUUUNAGAAGAGGUUCAUGGCACAUAAAGCUUGUCAUAUUGUAUUAGCACAUAUAUUUCCUUAUGUUUUCUCUACAGCCUUUAGAUGUGCUUACUUUAUUCUUCCCUUUUUGAGUUGGGUAGGAAAAUGUGGUCAGUUCUAGGAGAGCAUAAUGGAGUGUUUUUUUUUAUCUGUAAAGGAGGGACACCCUUGAAGAAACCUUACACUUUAAUGGUUGUGGAACAAGUUUGGAUGGUUAUGUUUGAUUAUGAGUUUGUUUAAAAUGUAAUGCAAUAUUUCGAGGAAUUUAGUUUUUCUUAUUUGAUUGUAUGAUGUUAUGGUCUAAUUUGGUGUUGUGAGCUUGUGUAAGUUUUUAAUUUUUCACUAUAUUGGAGUUUUUCCAACCAAUUUCAAUUUUUUUGGCAUAAAUUUUGGGUUUUAGGUCGGGGUUUCGAGUCUUUAUCGGGUUUAGGGUUGGGUUCGAGGAAAUUUUCAGCCCCAACGGGCUCCCCAAUAAGAAACCCGAUGGGGCUGCCCAAUAAGAAUCCCGUCGGGUAUUGGGUCGGGGUCGGGGACAAAUUUAGAUAUCGGGUUUGGGGAUGGGAUAUGCCGCCCCACCCCGAACCCGCCCCGUUGCCAUUCCUAGUUUUAUCCUCGGGACUUCAACAAUGUGAGGUGAGUUACCUUCCCGAUAGCAGUGGGUCUAAGGCACCAAUGAUGACCCACUAGUAGGUGUUUAUAGUAGAGAUGGUUAUCUUUGUGAUAAUUUUAUGGUAUGCCAUUAAUAGUUGUGAUUUAUGUGCUUAUGUCCUAUAAUGUAUGUGGUAGGGGUAAGGGUAAAAUGGACCCAAUAUCCGGUUGAAAGAGACCGAAUGGGUAGUUUGGGCACCCACAUAUGUCUGACAGUAUGUUUAUGUAUGUUAUUAUGUGGUAGUGGUAGGGGUGAAAUAAACCUCGUAUCCGGUCAGAUAGACCGAAGGGGAGGCCAGCACCCAGAUAUGCUAGGCAGUUAUCGGUUGAAAGAGACCGAAGGGGUAGGCCAACACCCAGAUAUGCUAGGAAGUUGUCUGUUGAAAGAGACCGAAGGGGUAGGCCAACACCCUAAUAUGCUAGGCGGUUACCGGUUGAAAGAGACCGAAUAGGUAGGCCAGUACCCUAAUAUGCUAAGCAAUAUAUUUAUUAUAUGGUAUGUGGUAUGAUGGGGGAACUCGCUAAGCUUCGUGCUUACGGUUUUCAAUUUUGGUUUCAGGUAUUUCUUCUUCAAAAGGAAAGGAACCGACAUGAUCGCAGCGCAUCACACUAUGAUUUCAUCUUUAUGAGAUCUUUGGGAGUUAUACUCUGAAAUUACUUUUCUAUGACAUGUUUCGAGUUAUUUGAAAUAUUGGUUUUUUAUUAUGAAAUGAGUUGAAACUACUGAUGUUUCAUACAUCUGGUUUUUAUAAUUACUUAUGUAAAAAUGAAAUUUUUGGUCUUUAAUUUUGGGAUGUUACACACACACACACACCACGUGAUGGUGUAUUGAUCUAAAAUAGAGUAUACUCUAGAGGUGUACAGAUAUAGUGGUUCUUGGUUAGUUGAGCCUUAGAAUAUCAUUAGGCAAUAGCAGUUAAUGAGUUAUUUGUUGGAUAUCUUAAGGAGAUAUUAAGAAUACACUUGUCUGGUGGAAUAUUAACUAUGAUAUCAAGUUGUUUGAUAUAUGUGUGACAUAUGUGUGAAUUUAUGUGUUAUAUUCUAUUGUAGUUGUUCUUCACUUAGUCAUGAGGCUUACGAUGUGUUAUUUGCGGUUGUUUUGUAG
rnacentral:lncRNA from 1 species